GCCUCCGUAGCUCAGUGGAUAGAGCAUCCGCCUUCUAAGCGGAUGGCCGCAAGUUCGAUCCUUGCCGGGGGCG
rnacentral:tRNA from 1 species